UAUAAGAAUAAAUAUCUAAUAUUUCUCAAGACAAGUACAAGAAAGGACUUCAGAACAAAAAAGACAUUAAAAAUAAUAUUAGUUUAGAAGAAGGUAAUCCACAACUUCUAAUAUUCUUAUAUCUUAUCAAAAAAAAGAGAUAAUCCACUUUUAAUCAAGAGAAGACUAAGCUCUAAUAUUAUAAGUAUACUAUUAUCAAUUUGUCAAGGACAUGAAUUGAAAGAAGAUGCAUAAACUUGGAAAAUUUGUAUCAAAUAAAAAGU
rnacentral:lncRNA from 1 species